UGAACGUGUGGCGUUUGGGUAACCUGGCGAACGCAUACCCAGCAGCGGGCGAGAGGCCAAGAUUAGAAAAUGUUUUUAGUUUCAGGAGGACUGAAGUAUCAAGUAACUUCGGAAUGACAGGAAAGUAACCGAUUUUGUUAAUGAGCGUAAAAAAUGGUAAAAAUACAGAGCUCAAACAGUUUUCUCGUUAAAGGAAAAACCGAACCCCUCUUCAUCCUCGUCCAUGAUGGCCAGACGGAGAGUAAAACACUUGGAAUCUGCUCUCUUGUCUUUUGUCUUUUCUCCCUAAUUUAUUUCUCCCCUUGUCGACAGGCUUUGUCUUUUCAUGACCUGGGGAUUUUUGAAGACUACUGGUCAGUUAUUUUGUAAAAUGUCCCUCCAUUGGGUUUGUCGUGAUUUCUCAAGAUUAGAUCAAGGUUAUGCAUUUUGGGAACAAUACCACAAAAGUGAUGUUGUGCACUUCCUGGUGCAUCGUAUCUGGGGGUUUGGCCAUUUGGAGACCACUGAGGAGCUGCUGUGUCCCAUCUUAUCUUUCUUUUUUUAAGCACUUCCUUAUUUUCUGUCACUGCAAGAUUUCCAGGCUCAGCUUAUAUUUUCCCUGCCCAGCCUUAGAUUCAACCACUUCUCCAAGGAGACCUAUUCCUUUGUAUUAUAGUAUUUAAAAUUUGAGUGCUAGGGUGUCACUGCUGCUAGUUCCUCUCAGAAGAUGGAGAUAGGAAAUAUAUGUAUAAAUACCAACCCAUGCAUGUACUUACAUAUCUAUAUUUCUGUCUCUGUCUGUAUAUAUAUAUUUUUACAUAUAUGUAAAUGUGUAUAUAUAUAAAUAAAACAGGAGUUCAUACUGGUACUCCCACUCAAAUCCAGCACCUCAACUUAUUCUAACCUUUGCCCUUUCUUUACCUUCAACUCCUUUCUAUGGCUGUAGGAAACCUGACUCUCAUUAUCUACAACAUGUCUAUUUGUUCAACCCUAGUCCACACAUAUAGUAGUUUUAAAAAUUGCUAACCCAGGGGCCAGCCCCGU